rnacentral:rRNA from 1 species
GAUCGACACCCCGUCGAAGGCGAUGAAAAGAAGUUGUCCACUUCCUCGACAUCGAGGUUGGCCGACGCGCAGGGGCGCCUCGACUGGCUCGACCGAUACGAUCGAAACUUCUGUCCUGUCGUCGGACAGGAAGCAAUCGCCCGGCUGCAGGUGUUCGGCGCGGAUCCAGCACCAUUGGUCGCCGCGGAGCACGAGGAAGGUGUGCUCGUAGGUGGCCCGGAGGUGACGGUGAUCAGGUAGUGGCGGGGAUACUCCGCGUGGAGCGUCAUCUGCACCGGUCACCGGGAUCAGCGCGCCGCGCGCCACGGACGUCGUGCGGCACUCGCCAAUCGGGCCAGCCGGUGGCCGAUUCAUCGAUCAUGCCGUCAACGUAGAAACCGAUCAACGACA